CAUUGGCAUCCAUCCCAGCAGAUCCUGAGGAAGAGGGGUCUUGUAUGAAGAUCAAAGAGUUGUGUUUGAUAGCCAAGGAUGACUUGCCUAAAUCCACUGUGGGGGUUUUCUAAAGGCAGUCUCCUUGGGCUAGUCUGACUGGCUCUUAUCUUUCAUGCUAGACCUCCACUUCCGGAUGGCUAAAUGCAUGUAGGUCUGGCGAUGGAACUAGCACUUAAUUAUUAGCAUCGACCCCAUGAAUGAGAGGAAGAGAGGUCUUGCAUGAAGAUCAAAGAGUCAUGUUUGAUAGCCAAGGAUGACUUGCCUACAUCCACAGUACUGGGGUUUCAUCAACUUGCGAUCGAGAUAAGAAUGAAUGAAUAUUGCUAACUUUUAUGUAUAGCAAAAAACGUCACGAUCUCAUCAUGACGUGGUUUAUAGGCAGUCUCCUUUGGCUAGUCUGAAUGACUCUUAUCUUUCAUGCUAGAUCUUCAUCUUCCAUGUAUCGUGCACAUUUGGAACCAGUCGAAUUAAAUCUUUUUUUU